UCUACCUCGUGCCUGUCUGCCGUGCAGAAGAAACAAGCAGAGAAGAAUGCAGACUGCAUAAUCAAAUUAACCCAGCAGAAGGAGUCUGAAUUGAAACCAAGGAACUCUCCUAUUCUCUGCUCAGAAUUCCAAUCCAGUUCGAGGUCAAAGCUGUGGAAAGUCAACAAGAUCAUCUAUCUCCAUAACCAGAUUUACGUUCUUAAACUCUACUCUGUCUGAUUUUUACUUUACCAUACUUGUCAUGUUUAUUCGUAGUUUGUUUGUUUGCUUGUUUUGUGUGAGUUUAUGUUUGAAACAUUGAGGACAAUGUUUAAUUUAAGUGACGAGGUUCCAAUGACUAUCAUCGAUUGGAAGGAUAAGGUUCUUAGGAACAAGACCGUUCGGAUAGUGAAGGUUUUGAGGAGGAACCACUCAGUGGAGGAGGCUACUUGGGAAACAGAUGAUCAGAUGAGAGAGAUGUAUUCGAGAUUGUUUUAUGAUUAUUAGUGUUGUAUUUUGGUUGUGUAAAUUUCGGGGACGAAAUUUCUAUAAGGAGGGUAGGUUGUAACAGCCCGUCCCGUAUUAACGUUUUUAUAAGUGUGAAGUUUGUUUAAUUAUCCUAGUUUUUAAGAGUGGACGUUUUGUCUGUGUGUUUGUUUGAAAAUGACUUAUGGACUAUACACUCAGACACACUCAUUAUUCAUUAUUCCUUCCCGUGAUUCCCUCAAACACUCACACUCUCUCUCUCUUUCUACACUCACGGCAAAACAACAAGGAUCUUCAAAUCUUCACAGAUCGAAGAAACAAAGACCACCAUCGUCUUCAUCUCGUCGAUACAAAUUCAUCCAUACCCAUUUCAGGUAAGAACUUCAACGUUUUCACGUCGAACAACUUACCUCCGAGUUUGACACUAUUCAUCAACUUUGUAUUGGUUGAUUUUUAGGGGUUUUUAAGCUCAUAGGGAGCUUAAGGAGGUUCUUAGGAAGCUCGGAAUGCUUCGUUGGAAGUUUUUGGAAGUAAAAACACAGAGAUCGGAAAGUUCAAUGUUUGGUCGGAACUUUCGAGGCGUUUUCCGGCCAAACCACGGAGAGUUAGACGUCGUGCGAGUUUCCGGCGAGUCCGAUGGCUUUCGAGGCUUUUUCCGGUGAAUUCCCGGCGAGUUAAGGGUCGAGACAGGUGAAAAUUUUACGGACGAAGAACGUAACCAAAAUAGGCGAGGGGGUUACGAACCGGCUACUUAUCUGUGAGUGGGCAGUUUUGUUUUCCGUAUACAUAUAUACUAUUGAGUCUUCCCAGAAAUUGAAUUUAAAUGAAAGCAUGAUUUAAAAUGCCAUGGAUAGAAUUAUAUGAAAAG